rnacentral:misc_RNA from 1 species
AACGAGGCCGACCUGCGGCUGAGUUACCUGCGGAGGGAUCAUUACGCGUAUUAGGGUGCCCAACCGGGGCGCCCUUUGCACACCCACCCUUUGCCUAUGUGUACCUUUCCAUCGCUUCCUCGGCGGGCUCGCCCGCCGGCAGGAACCAAACCAACCCCUUGCAUCCUACGCGAAAACUUCUGAUAACCACGUAAAUAAGUCACAACUUUUAACAAUGGAUCUCAGAUCGGAAGAGCACAC